AUUUUUGAACUUCUUGCAACCUACUAAGCUACCAAGACUGUAAUGAUAUAGGGGAUGUUGCUCGAAAAAAAGAUGUUGAUAAAGCCUUACGUGGGGCCGAUUGUGUUUUCCACCUAGCUUCGUAUGGCAUGUCGGGGAAAGAAAUGCUCCAGUUUGGUCGGGUUCAUAGGUGAAUAUUAGUGGAACUUGUCUUGUUUUGGAGUUGUGUCGAAUUUGAGAUCAGAGGGCUUGUUUAUGUGAGCAUAUAUGGUGUUGUAUUCGGCGGAAAUGAGAUUGUGAAUGGCAAUGGAAGCUUACCUUUCUUUCCUGUUGAUGACCAUGUUGAUCCAUACGGCCCUAGCAAAUCAAUUGCUGAACGGUUGGUUCUGAAGCACAAUGCUCGUCCUUUCAAGUAAGUUUAUGUUCUUCAAGAAUCCUCACUCUUGUUAUGCAUAUCUCUAUUUCGUCAUUUGAUAGAAGCCUCAUAAAGAUCUAUUCAGUUCUUGUAAAGAUGAUGUGAUAGGACUGAGUUGACAUAUUAGACUUUUCUUCGCUGAAGAAAAAUGCAUGUGAAAACGGAGUGAGGUUGAUUAGUUUUUCUUUGCUGGUAGCUUCUAACAUGCUAAACUAGAAAAGGGGGAUGAAUCGGGACUUGAAAGGCAUCAACAACUUUCAUAAUUACAAGUUUUCAUAAUAGGAAAAGAGUUAUACGGGUUGUUUCUUUGCUGUAUAGGAAGAACAAUGGAAAAUGUCUUUUUACGUGUGCGAUUCGUCCUGCUGCUAUAUAUGGGCCAGGGGAAGAAAGGCAUUCUCCGAGGAUUGUAUCAUUUGCCAAGUUAGGCCUUCUGCCUUUCAAAAUUGGUGAUUCAAAUGUGAAGACAGACUGGGUUUAUGUGGAUAACCUUGUGCUUGCACUAAUAUUGGCAAGCAUGGGGCUUUUGGAUGACAUUCCUAAUAAUGAAGAACUAUUGGUAAUUCUUGAGACUCUUUCCAGUCCUCAAUGUGAGAUAAUUGUCUUCAAAAGAUUGCUUGGUUUUUACAGUGGUAAUGGAGGGUUUGAGGAUCUAACCUGCUACUCUUUCAGGGUCUCCGAUCAGCACCUUUGAAUUCCUCCAGCCACUGCUUAAAAGUCUGGAUUAUGACCUACCAAAGGCCAGUUUGUCUGUCCCUCGUGUUCUUAUGCUGGGAAGGAUUUUCUGGGCAAUCUAUACCGUAUUAUACCCGUGGUUGAAUCGAUGGUGGCUUCCUCAGCCACUGAUCUUUCCUGCUGAAGUGUACAAGGUAGUUUCAAAAUAUCAUAUUUUCUGCUUAACAUCCAUGCCUGAAAAUCAAGUCUCCGCAAAUCAUGCAUGAAUGUUUUGGCAGCAUUCUUACUUUCUUCAUCUUACAAUUCAAGACAAAUAAUAAAAAUAAAUAAAUUGAUGUGCCUAAUUCUAAUAUCGUAAUCACUGUAUUACUGAAUCUAAUGUAUUUCAAGCAGGUUGGUGUGACCCACUACUUCUCUUCCCUGAAAGCCAGGCAGGAGCUUGGCUGUGUUCCAAUGGUGAGUCCUCGAGAGGGCAUGGCUGCAACUAUCUCAUACUGGCAGGAGCGGAAGAGGAAGACUUUGGAUGGACCUACCAUAUAUGCAAGGUUGUUUGUUGUGAUCGGAAUAACUUCCGUGUUCAGUGCUGCUUACUUGCCAGACAUGGUACCACCAGUGUCACUUCUCAGAGCCACUACCCUUAUCCUCUUCCGAUCAAUGUGGGUUGUGAGAACAAUAUUUCAUUUAGCCAUGGCCGCACAUAUUGGUGAGGCUGUUUGUGCAUGGAAGCUUGCAAGGAGGGUGGAUCCUGCUAAUGCAAGAGCAUGGUUUUGGCAAACAUUAGUGUUCGGAAUCCGUUCAUUGCGUUUUCUGUUGAAGAGAGCCAAGAGAGCAAUAGAGAUAGCCACAUUGUAAAACACCUUCCUGUUUCCCUGAUGGAGAACAAUAGAGAGCAAGCAAGCUUGGCAGUUGGAUUUUAAAGCUUCAACUAGUGAGCUCAAAUUUGACUGGUCUCAAUACUGAUUGGUUCAUUUAAACUUGGGAAUAAGCCCUAAGCAGUUUUUAGAUUCAGUUCAAAUAAACACCAGUGCAUGAUGUUCUCCACCUGCACUUGUCACAUUUAGUUUAGAAAAAUCCCAGUACAGUCCUUUUAUUUUAUUUUUGUUACAAAUUUGUUUUUAUAUCCAUGUUUAUGUUUCUGCAACUAGAAACGUUAUGUUUUCUGUAUAUAUGUCCUGAGACAUCAACCAAACGGCUCCGUUUGGGAACUGAAGAAAGCAGCUGCCAAAAACAUAAAAAGUUAUGCCAGACGGCCGAUCUAAAACCUAAACAGGCUCAUAUUGAAGAAAAAAUUGAGAUCGAAACCCAAAUUUAUCCGGGUCAUUUCAAUAAAAACCUGUUAAGAACCUGUUAAUUCUUUUUAGAAAGAUCUGGUUUAACUCAGAUCAACCCUCGUACUUCAUAUCUCGAGCCUUGUAGCAGGUCGUCUCCGGUCAAAUUUAAAAAAUAUGUUCUAUAAUUCAAAAAAUUAAAAGGUAGAUUCCCCAGAAUUUCUCACCUUGACCACACCGUAAUUAACAGAAAAAAACAAGUCUCUGGUUGUUCAAGUUAGGUCCCGAUUUUCCAUGACCUCCUUUCCAGCGCCUCUUAUGAUCAACUUAUUGAUGCAUAAUUUUUAUCUUUUUUUCUUAGCCAUUAUAUUUGAUUUAUUUGUUUUUUCAUCUGCAAUAAAAUAUAUUCUUAAUUGAAUUUAUAUAUUAGUCAAAACUAGUUUUUUUUAGAUGAUCUUAUAAAUACAACUUUUUCAUGAUCUUAUGUUUAUAAAAAAAUAAUAUUUUUUAAGAGAUAAAGCAUCGUCUUACCCAAUAAAUUAUUCUAUUAAAAAAAAUUUAUAUGUAUUAAAAAAAAUAAACGGAGGGCAAAGAAUUAAGUAUUUUUCCCAUUUAUGAGUUGUCCUGAGUAUCUGAAAUUUAUAUAAUUAUUAAAUUUAAAUAUUAAUUAAAAUACAUAUAAAUUGACUUGAAUAUUUAUAUUAAUUAAAAAUAAAAAUAAAAGCAUAAAAGGUUAAACUUUAGUCUGGUAAUAAAAAUAGCAGGAAAAAUUUUCUCUUUUUUUUCCCCUUCUCGAGAGAGCAAGAAAAAGAACCAAAAAGGAAAGCAAAAUGCACUUGAGCGAGAAUGAAGGGAUAGAGGCCAACACCUUUGUAGUCACAGGUGGAUUGGGUUUCGUGGGUUCCGCCUUAUGUCUGGAGCUGGUCCGUCGAGGUGCUCGCCAAGUCCGAGCCUUUGAUCUCCGACUCACUUCUCCUUGGUCUGAUGAUCUCAAGAAUCAUGGUGUUCGACUCAUUCAAGGUUUCCUUUUCCUUUUUUCUCUUUCUUUAUUACUGUAUCAGUUUCCUAUUUAUUUCUUAAAUCUAUUUCUUUUGUAUGUAAUAAGAAUGCGCUGAUCAAUUCAUCAAGUAGUUGACUUACUGCAGUAAAUUCUAAGACCAUUUCCAUGAAUUCAAAAACACAUCUUGUUGUUGGGUUUCUCUGCUUUUUUUUUGUUCAUUUUAUAAAUUCUUUCAUUAUCUGGUGAUGAUUAUGGUUUGAAUUGGAUUUUUAUUUUUUUUUCGUUGGAAGAAUUUGUCGUUCACUGCUAGUUAAUGUAGAUUGUUGGCUUAAGCUACUAAGAUUGUGAUGAUAUAGGGGAUCUUACUCGAAAAAAAGAAGUUGAUAAAGCCUUACGUGGGGCCGAUUGUGUUUUCCACCUUGCUUCGUAUGGCAUGUCGGGGAAAGAAAUGCUCCAGUUUGGUCGGGUUGACGAGGUGAAUAUUAGUGGAACUUGUCUUGUUUUGGAGGCUUGUCUUGAGUUUGAGAUCAGAAGGCUUGUUUAUGUGAGCACAUAU
rnacentral:lncRNA from 1 species